CUCCCAGUCCCUCACUUUCAUCCUUGGAGGUUAUGAGACUACAAGCACCACUCUCACUUUCUUCCUCUAUAAUCUUGCAACUAAUCCAGACUGCCUGGAAAAGCUGGUUGGGGAGAUUGACACAAACUUCCCUCCUGAUUCUCCCAUUACAUACGAUGCAUUGAUGAAAAUGGAUUACUUGGAAAUGGCCAUCAACGAAUCAAUGGGGUGACGAUACCAAAAGACACUCCUACAUAUUGGAAUUCCAGCAUAUGUUUUAUGUCGUGACCCGCAGCUCUGGGAUUCUCCUGAUGAGUUCAGGCCAGAGAGGUUCAGCCCAGAGAGUAAAUCAGU